UGAAUACGAGAUGCUACAGCGUCGAAUCAGUCUAUGUCAUACUUCCAAGAAAAGCUCGCACUGUCAUAAACAAAUAAUGCCUGUACCAUAACCGACACAGGUGGGUAGGUAGAGUAUACCAAGGGGCGCGAGAUAACUCUCUCUAAGGAACUCGGCAAAAUGACUCCGUAACUUCGGGAGGAGGAGUGCCUUAUUUAUAAGGUUGCAAUAACAAGAUCCAAGCAACUGUUUAUCAAAAACACAGGUCUCCGCUAAGUCGUAAGACGAUGUAUGGGGGCUGACGCCUGCCCAGUGCCAGAAGGUUAAAGAAGUUGGUUAGCAUUCGCGAAGCUGAUAACUGAAGCCCUGGUGAACGGCGGCCGUAACAAUAACGGUCCUAAGGUAGCGAAAUUCCUUGUCGGGUAAGUUCCGACCCGCACGAAAGGCGUAAUGAUUUGGAUACUGUCUCGGAGAGGGGCUCGGUGAAAUAGACUUGUCUGUGAAGAUGCGGACUACCUGCACCAGGACAGAAAGACCCUAUGAAGCUUUACUGUAACUUGAGAUUGAAAUUGGACUUUACUUGCGCAGUAUAGGUGGGAGGCGUUGAUAAUAUUCUUGCGGGAUUAUUUGAGCCAUCAGUGAGAUACCACUCUUGUAAUGUUAGAUUUCUAACUUUGUAUCAUUAUCUGGUCAAAGGACAGUUUCAGGCGGGCAGUUUGACUGGGGCGGUCGCCUCCUAAACGGUAACGGAGGCGCACAAAGGUUUCCUCUGAACGGGUAGAAAUCGUAUCUAGAGUGUAAAGGCAUAAGGAAGCUUGACUGUGAGACCUACAAGUCGAGCAGGGACGAAAGUCGGUCUUAGUGAUCUGACGGUGCUGAGUGGAAAGGCCGUCACUCAACGGAUAAAAGUUACUCUAAGGAUAACAGGCUGAUCUCCCCCAAGAGUUCACAUCGACGGGGAGGUUUGGCACCUCGAUGUCGGCUCAUCGCAUCCUGGGGCGGUAGUACGUCCCAAGGGUUGGGCUGUUCGCCCAUGAAAGCGGUACGCGAGCUGGGUUCAGAACGUCGUGAGACAGUUCGGUCCAUAUCCGGUGUAGGCGUUAGAAUAUUGAGAGGAGCCUUCUUUAGUACGAGAGGACCGAGAAGGACAUACCUCUGGUGUACCAGUUAUCGUGCCAACGGUAACGCUGGGUAGCUAUGUAUGGAGUGGAUAACCGCUGAAAGCAUCUAAGUGGGAAGCCCACCUCAAGAUAAGUAUUCUCAUC
rnacentral:rRNA from 1 species